UGAGCUCCUGUGCCAACAGCUGACCACUGUACUUUGGAUUCCAGGACAUCACGAAACCCUGCUGUUGUUUGGAUAGAAGAGAAGGAGUGAUGAAACAAACUGGACGUUCCGGCUCUACUCUACCUCAACUUAAAACACAAGAUGCUGUGCACUGAACUCCUGCUACUCCUGUAUGCAGCCUGAAAGAGAGAACACUGUUUUCACAGGGCUACUUCACAGCUGAGUUUUUAUUUACGAGCUGCUGUAGAUCUAGGAUGGAGAACCUAUGGAAAAGAGACAACACUAUGAAUUUAAAGAUAAAGAUCUGCUGCAAAUUACCUUGCAAACUGUAUUGUGAUGGCAGCUACUAUGGAAGCUUUUUAGAACACAACUGCAGGACUGACCACAAUUCUAUCAAAGCCCAGCUAGACUUGUAUCCUGUUUCUGACAGUUCAUCAGGAAAAGCAGAAAGAAAUGCAAAUAUACUAUGAAAUUCCUCUCAGAACACUCCUAGUUUCAGUAAUGACCAGCUCACAGAGCCUCGGUACCAAAUUUUAAUUUUUAAAUUUAAAUUUUUAUUUAAAGGGUUUUUUUUCUUUCUUGAAUUUAUCUCACCACUUCUUGGACUCAUUUUUGCACUUGGAGUAAUACAUCCUAUGACAGUGUUAACAUGGCUUGAUUAUGUACUGUGAGAAAGUGUGUUUUGUUUGCUUUAAGCUUGCUGAUCAUUUCAUUUGGAGGCUAUGUAAAUCGUGUGCUGUGAGAAACAAUGAAUAAAUGUCUCUGUUCACCUA